UACAGAGGUCUCAAGCGUUGUUCGGAUUCAUUGGGCGUAAAGGGUGCGUAGGUGGCGCUGUAAGUCGGGUGUGAAAUUUCGGAGCUUAACUCCGAAACUGCAUUCGAUACUGCGGUGCUUGAGGACUGGAGAGGAGACUGGAAUUCAUGGUGUAGCAGUGAAAUGCGUAGAGAUCAUGAGGAAGACCAGUGGCGAAGGCGGGUCUCUGGACAGUUCCUGACACUGGAGGCACGAAGGCCCAGGGGAGCAAAACGGG
rnacentral:rRNA from 1 species